AGUGAAGCGGGAUGAGCUCAAAUUUAAAAUCUGGCGGCCUCAGGUCGUCCGAGUUGUAGUCUAGAGAAUCGUUUUCCGCGUUGGCCUGUGUACAAGUCCCUUGGAACAGGGCGUCAUAGAGGGUGAGAAUCCCGUCCUUGACACAGAUUACCAAUGCUUUGUGAUGCGAUCUCGAAGAGUCGAGUUGUUUGGGAAUGCAGCUCAAAAUGGGUGGUAAAUUCCAUCUAAAGCUAAAUAUUGGCGAGAGACCGAUAGCGAACAAGUACCGUGAGGGAAAGAUGAAAAGCACUUUGGAAAGAGAGUUAAACAGUACGUGAAAUUGUUAAAAGGGAAACGAUUGAAGUCAGUCAUGCUUUCCGAGACUCAGCCGAUUCUGUCGGUGUACUUCUCGGUUGGCAGGCCAGCAUCAGUUUCGAUCUGUGGAAAAGGUUGGAGGGAACGUGGCAUCUUCGGAUGUGUUAUAGCCCUUCUUCGAAUACAUAGAGCGGGACUGAGGAACGCAGCGCGCCUUUUAUUAGGUUGGCC
rnacentral:rRNA from 1 species